CUCAACGACUCAGAUUGGAAGCAGAGUGGGUAGACUCUGUUUGUCUCCACUUUCUCUUGUGGCUCCUCACGGCUCAUAAGCAUCAGAAAAGGGAGGAGGAGGAGCACAACUACCAGAGACCCUCGUAAGAAAGCCCCCGAGUACUCAAUUUUGGUGCCAACCCGAGGGCGAGCCUGGACCAACUAGACUAUAUAAAAGUGAAAACGCACGUUUACCGUCACUUGCAGACCAAGACCUCAGACUCCAGACAACGCUGGAUCCAGAAGUGAAUCACAGAAUCAUAGACUUCUAGAGGUUGGAAUAGACCUCUAGAGAUCAAGUCCAACCCCUCUGCUAAAGAACAUUGCCUACAGCAAGUCACACAGGGAGGUAUCCAGA
ensembl:lncRNA